GCCGGGCAUGGUCGUGCGUGCCUGUAAUUCCAGCUACUUGGGAGGCUGAGGCAGGAGAAUCACUUGAACCUGGGAGGUGGAGGUUGCAGUGAGCCAAGAUCAUGCCACUGCACUCCAGCCUGGGCAACAGAGUGAGACCCUGUCUCAA
rfam:Homo sapiens chromosome 22, GRCh38 reference primary assembly.